rnacentral:rRNA from 1 species
AUUGAACGCUGGCGGCAUGCUUUACACAUGCAAGUCGAACGGUAACAGGCCGCAAGGUGCUGACGAGUGGCGAACGGGUGAGUAAUGCAUCGGAACGUGCCCAGUCGUGGGGGAUAACGCAGCGAAAGCUGCGCUAAUACCGCAUACGAUCCCUGGAUGAAAGCGGGGGACCGAAAGGCCUCGUGCGAUUGGAGCGGCCGAUGUCAGAUUAGGUAGUUGGUGGGGUAAAGGCCCACCAAGCCAACGAUCUGUAGCUGGUCUGAGAGGACGACCAGCCACACUGGGACUGAGACACGGCCCAGACUCCUACGGGAGGCAGCAGUGGGGAAUUUUGGACAAUGGGCGCAAGCCUGAUCCAGCAAUGCCGCGUGCAGGAAGAAGGCCUUCGGGUUGUAAACUGCUUUUGUACGGAACGAAACGGUCCGGGUUAAUACCCUGGGCUAAUGACGGUACCGUAAGAAUAAGCACCGGCUAACUACGUGCCAGCCGCCGCCGUAACAC